GAUCUCUAUAUUCUGAAUCCUUUGCCACACAACACCCGUUUUCCAGAUUUGGAACGAGGACUAAUAGAUGCAUUGGCAAGUUACCAUGCUCAAAGUGGAAGGGCAAAGAGAACUCCCAAAGUAGUCUAUCUUAUGGGAUCGCCUAAGCAACCAGGGGGAACUGAAUGUGGGUAUACGGUCCUUAGAUAUAUGAGAGACAUUGUUAUGGACAAAGAAAUGUCUUUCAUGACCAAG